GAUGAACGCUGGCGGCGUGCUUAACACAUGCAAGUCGAACGGAAAGGCCCAAGCUUGCUUGGGUACUCGAGUGGCGAACGGGUGAGUAACACGUGGUGAUCUGCCCUGCACUUCGGGAUAAGCCUGGGAAACUGGGACUAAUACCGGAUAGGACGAUGGCUUGGAUGCCAUUGUGGAAAGUUUUUUCGGUGUGGGAUGAGCUCGCGGCCUAUCAGCUUGUUGGUGGGGUAAUGGCCUACCAAGGCGUCGACGGGUAGCCGGCCUGAGAGGGUGUACGGCCACAUUGGGACUGAGAUACGGCCCAGACUCCUACGGGAGGCAGCAGUGGGGAAUAUUGCACAAUGGGCGAAAGCCUGAUGCAGCGACGCCGCGUGGGGGAUGACGGCCUUCGGGUUGUAAACUCCUUUCGCUAGGGACGAAGCGUUUUUGUGACGGUACCUGGAGAAGAAGCACCGGCUAACUACGUG
rnacentral:rRNA from 1 species